rnacentral:rRNA from 1 species
UUCCGGUUGAUCCCGCCGGACCUGACUGCUAUCGGAUUGAUACUAAGCCAUGCGAGUCUUUGCAGUAAUGCAAGGCGGACUGCUCAGUAACACGUAGUCAACUUAACCUAUGGAUGGGUAUAACCUCGGGAAACUGAGAAUAAUUCCCAAUAGAUCAUUUAUCCUGGAAUGGUUAGUGAUUGAAAUGAUUCGUCGCCAUAGGAUAGGACUGCGGCCUAUCAGCUUGUUGGUGAGGUAAAGGCCCACCAAGGCUAUUACAGGUACGGGCUCUGAGAGGAGAAGCCCGGAGAUGGGUACUGAGACACGGACCCAGGCCCUAUGGGGCGCAGCAGGCGAGAAAACUUUGCAAUGUGCGAAAGCACGACAAGGUUAAUCCGAGUGAUUUCUGCUAAAGAAAUCUUUUGCCAGUUCUAAAAAUACUGGUGAAUAAGGGGUGGGCAAGUUCUGGUGUCAGCCGCCGCGGUAAAACCAGCACCUCAAGUUGUCAGGAGGAUUAUUGGGCCUAAAGCAUCCGUAGCCGGCUCUGUUAGUUUUCGGUUAAAUCCAUAUGCUCAACAUAUGGGCUGUCGGAAAUACUGCAGAGCUAGGGAAUGGGAGAGGUAGACGGUACUCGGUAGGAAGGGGUAAAAUCCUUUGAUCUAUUGAUGACCACCUGUGGCGAAGGCGGUCUACCAGAACAUGUUCGACGGUGAGGGAUGAAAGCUGGGGGAGCAAACCGGAUUAGAUACCCGGGUAGUCCCAGCUGUAAACGAUGCAGACUAGAUGAUGCAUUAGCAUAUAGCUAGUGCAGUGUCUCAGGGAAGCCGUUAAGUCUGCCGCCUGGGAAGUACGUACGCAAGUAUGAAACUUAAAGGAAUUGGCGGGGGAGCACCACAAGGGGUGAAGCCUGCGGUUCAAU